GAGGCAGGUCCCAAUAAGGGCCCUCCACAUGUGUUGGCUACUGAAGUGAGGAUGCAGUCUCAAUCCUUGAGAGAACCAUUGACAGGACUUGUUCUGGGGAGCCGGUUUAAAAAAAAUGGACAGAGGGGAUGACAGAGAUCAAGAGAAGAUGAAGUAUAGAUUUCUCAAGCUGCAAAGCUUGUUUAACAAGAGGUGAAAUUGUCCACAUCAUGAGCAAUGAUGGCUCAGUCAU